rnacentral:misc_RNA from 1 species
CAAUUUUCAGGGGGAUCAUCAAUCCAUUAAGAAUGCCAGUAAGGGUGGUCGAAACCUCUGCACCUACUCAAAUUUCAGGUGCACAUUCUGGACAGAUUUCGCCACCAUUUUGCACCCUUCUUAGUGUUGGACAGGCUUUCUCUGGUACCCAGAAUGUUUCUAGUCUACAAAAAGAUGAAGCCUGGAGAGUUAAUGUCCGUAUUCAAGGAUGUGACCUUGAGCACGGUUACUUAUGUGGCACUAUGGAAGCUCUGAAUGUUCCUAUGGCGGACACGCCAGUGGUAACCUUCUGGGAAGGGGAGAUUGUUGAUGGCAAGAAUUACAGUUUCUUCACUGGUAAAUGGGAAGCAUCAUCGGAAGAUGAUAUAAGACAUUGGACAAAGUUUCCAUCCUUUUCCCCUUUCUUGUGCCAAGUGGAGGUUGAUGGUGGCAAAUCUUUAGACUUGAGUAACUACCCGUACAUAUUUAUGAGGUGGAAAGAGCAAUAUUUUGUCAAUGUUGGAACAGACUGUGGGUUAACCAUAGCUGGGUUUUACUAUGUUUGCUUCUCCUGUACUGAUGGCUCCAUUAGUGGGUUCUAUUAUGAUCCUAAUAGCAGCCCAUUUCAGAAGCUUGAACUGAAAUCGACCAACGAGGGGCGAUCAGGCUUCAGUUUUUCGUCUUAUGAAUUGCAGUAAAAUGGAUUAUGGGCACUUCAUUCCAGGAUUAGCUACUGUUUCGAGUGAACUUGUUGAAUGGAGCUUGAAUUUGCUGGAC